GGCGAGUGAAGCGGCAAAAGCUCAAAUUUGAAAUCUGGCGUCUUCGACGUCCGAGUUGUAAUUUGAAGAAGGCAACUUUGUAGCUGGUCCUUGUCUAUGUUCCUUGGAACAGGACGUCAUAGAGGGUGAGAAUCCCGUGUGGCGAGGAUCCCAGUUAUUUGUAAAGUGCUUUCGACGAGUCGAGUUGUUUGGGAAUGCAGCUCUAAGUGGGUGGUAAAUUCCAUCUAAAGCUAAAUAUUGGCGAGAGACCGAUAGCGAACAAGUACAGUGAUGGAAAGAUGAAAAGAACUUUGAAAAGAGAGUGAAAAAGUACGUGAAAUUGUUGAAAGGGAAGGGCAUUUGAUCAGACAUGGCGUUUGCUUCGGCUUUCGCUGGGCCAGCAUCAGUUUUAGCGGUUGGAUAAAUCCUCGGGAAUGUGGCUCUGCUUCGGUAGAGUGUUAUAGCCCGUGGGAAUACAGCCAGCUGGGACUGAGGAUUGCGACUUUUGUCAAGGA
rnacentral:rRNA from 1 species